GCCAGUAUGAUGUAGUGGUUUAAGUGUUGGACUAGGACUCUGGAGACCAAGGUUCAAAUCCCUGCUCAGCCA